AGCCAUGCAGUGAGCACAGAGCGAACUAUUCUUUCGCCUUUUACUAAAGAAUACCGUGUGCACGCUGCUUAUAGUGGCAUACGCCUAUUUUUGAAAGGGACCCACCCUUGGUGGGUUU